AGGAGGCCGGAUCCGGAUGCUGGGGCCCCGGCUCUGACGGCCGCCCUGCUGCUGGUCCAGCCCGGCCUCUCCGAGCUGAGAAGGCCCCGCGGGCCAAGCAUCCCCCGUGGGGGCCGAGGCCGCGCCCCAGUGAGGACUGCCCGAGCCGGCCGCCCGCACCGCUGACCCCGGGCCAGCGGCCUUGACCUCACUGCCCACUGCGCGACCCACUGGCCCUCCUCCCACCCGGCUGCCUUCUCCCCACUCGGGGGCCACUCUUGACACUAGUCCCCUCGUCCCGCGCCGACCUCCCUGAAAUACAGUCGUUUCACCACCGCCCUUUGCCUGCGGGUGCCGCCCGCAGCCAGUGCCCGAGCCUGGCCUGUGGGACUCGGGGGCGCCAGGUGCUCUGCGGCCCUGUGCCCCUGCGACCUUAGGGCUCGUCCUGCCCCAUCCUGCCCCGGUCCCUGCAAAGGCACCACCUCCAAAGCCCAAGGCACAUCCCCAGGUGUCCUCUCUCACGGCACCCUGGCCCUCUCCAACCUGAGCCUCCCAUGGAGUCAGCCUCCUCCAAAGGAAAUCCGCUGAGGCGCCCGACGCCCAGGGGCCAGGGGCCAGGGGCCUGCCAGCCUCUCCUCUGGGGGGCCUCGAGGUGUACACGCGAGCUGCAGCCUCGCCCCCACAGAAAGCAGCAUGGCCAGGCCGCGGAAAGAACAUGGAACGUGAGGCCAGGGCUGGGGGGCCGUGGAAGGCCGUGGAAGGCCGUGGAAGGCCGUGGGACCGCGGGCGGGUGGCUGACCCUCUCUGGUCUCUGUCUCAUGAACUCACGGUUAGUGGCUGGGCCCGCGUGGCGCAGGUGAACGCGCUCUCUCUGACAUCACCCGCGAGUCUGAAACAGCAGACGGGCUUCUGUGCUUCCUCCUUUCGGGCCCACUUUGAACGUAGCCCGCAUGCGCCUGCCUCCUGUCAGCGUUGGUCGUGGGGACCCCGUCUGGAAAGCGGCUGUGGGCUGUACCUUGUGACCAUGUGACACCCCCCCCCCAGCCACCUCUGAUUGGCCCAGAGCAAGGUCCUCCUCGCGGUUGCUGAGCAGGUGUCUGCUUGUGUCAGUGUGACCCAGAUAGGGGUCUUUCGCUCUCGCAUGGCUCCUCGGGCCCCGAGACACACAGGAGGCGAACAAGGGCCCGGUGCACGCAGGCCUCCUGGGCCCCUCUAUGGCUAAAACCCUGGAAGUCUCAGCAAGCCUGAGCAGGGGACAUGCAGUGAGCCACCUGUCACCAGAGAUGCCAGGAGAGACACACAGAGAGAGGCAGAGACACAGGCAGAGGGAGAAGCAGGCUCCGUGCGGGGAGCCCAACGUGGACUCGAACCCAGGACCCCGGGGUCACGCCCUGGGCCCAAGGCAGACGCUCAACCGCUGAGCCCCCGGGCGUCCCUGCAGCCGUGUUAGACCUCAGACGAGGUCGCGCGGGGUCAGGGUGGGCCAUGACUCCACGGCUGGUGUCGUUGGAAGACGACGGCACACAGGGGCGCCUGGGCGGCUCAGUCAGUGAAGCGUCCGACCCGGUUUCAGCUCAGGUUGUGAUCUCGGAGUCCUGCGUCCGAGCCCCGCGUGGGGCUCUGCCCUCAGCAUGGGGUCAGCUGGAGAUUGUCACCCUCUGCGUCCCUCUGCUCGUGCCCCUCGCUCCUGUGAGCUCUCCCCUAAGUAAACAAACAACUUAACACGCCCGCACAGGCACCCACGCGGAGGGCAGAGCUCGGCCACAGGCCCCGGGAUGCCCGGAGGCCCCGGGAGCCGGGAGCAGCAGGACGGACCCUCCCCUGGGGCCUGCCGAGGGAGCACGGCCCCGCCACAGCCGGAUGUCAGGCUGCGGGCUCCAGAAUGUAGGAGGAUGAGUGGCCUCGGGGCACCCCGCUCGCGGUUCUUGCACACGGCGGCCGAGGACUCCCGGAGAUGCGCACCCGUCACGGGUUGAACUGUGAUCCCCGAAGAGACCUGUGGAAAUUGCAGCCCCUGGUGCGUGUCGGAGAACGAGGUGUUGCCGGCCCUAUUCCUGCAGGGGGAGAACCCGUCCCAGGCCUCCCAGCCUCACAGGGGGAUGUGGGGGUCACCGGCGCCCCCGGCAUUCCGGGGCCUGCAAGAGCAUCGCCCCCGUCUCGGCCCCAUCUUCACGGGGCUUCCCCCGGCCUGACCCGGUCCACGUGUUCCAGUCUGUCACGUUGGAUGAGGCCUCACUUGACCUUGAAAAAUGUCUCUUUGGUGACCCUAUUUCCAGAGAAGGUGCCCUCGUGGGGCCCUGGGGGCUAGGACCCGAAAGGAUCAACGGAGGUGAACGCAGUUCACUGGUCACACAGCACGCACGCAGGUGUGCGCCCACCCGGGGCACAGUCACGGCCCUCCAGCCCCCCAUGGGGCCGGCAGCCUGAUACCCAGUCCCCGCGCGUUCCACAGGGCCCCAGGGGGCUGCGGCCACCCGCAAGGGGGACCCGCUCGCUCUCGCCUCCCUAGACUCCUGCCCUCUUGCCCCCAAUCUUCCCGUGGGGCCAAGAUGGGUCACGACAGCGAAGUUCACGCAGCCGCCACGGGAGAACCCGGCCGCCCUCUCUGCAAAAAUGAAAACAAUGCCACUCAUCUCUUUUCUUAAAAAAGUUAUUUUUUUAAUGUUGAAGUGUAGCGAACACAUCCUUAGAUGACGUUAACACAUUUGUAGAUGUCGUCUUACGUUCUACGCCACUGUUAGCAUUGUUAGGCGCGCAGGGAGGCCCCGCCCGGGCCUUGCAGGGCAGUCAGGCCCCGCGGACGCCCGCCCCAGCCCCACCAUCCCGCGGUGGCCGUUCCCACCCGGAUCCCAGGCUCUGCCCUCCAGAAGGUGGGAGGGGAGACCCCUGCGGCUUACGACCCCGUGGUUCCUGGACGCGGCCGCCCACGCA